rnacentral:tRNA from 1 species
UAAGAUGGCUGAUAUAAGCAAUGGUUUGUAGCCCCAUCUAUGAAGGUUACAAUCCUUUUCGUAC